GUGAUCGGCCACACUGGAACUGAGACACGGUCCAGACUCCUACGGGAGGCAGCAGUAGGGAAUCUUCCGCAAUGGGCGAAAGCCUGACGGAGCAACGCCGCGUGAGUGAUGAAGGGUUUCGGCUCGUAAAACUCUGUUAUUAGGGAAGAACAAAUGUGUAAGUAACUGUGCACAUCUUGACGGUACCUAAUCAGAAAGCCACGGCUAACUACGUGCCAACAGCCGCGGUAAUACGUAGGUGGCAAGCGUUAUCCGGAAUUAUUGGGCGUAAAGCGCGCGUAGGCGGUUUCUUAAGUCUGAUGUGAAAGCCCACGGCUCAACCGUGGAGGGUCAUUGGAAACUGGGAAACUUGAGUGCAGAAGAGGAAAGUGGAAUUCCAUGUGUAGCGGUGAAAUGCGCAGAGAUAUGGAGGAACUCCAGUGGCGAAGGCGACU
rnacentral:rRNA from 1 species